UUGUUGAAUCGGUUCAAUUUUUUUGAUUCAUGUUUUGGCAGAUCUUUGUUUUCCAUUCGAAUCCUCAAUCUCUAAUGUGAACUCCCAUAAUUGUUCCAAUCAAAUUGGUCACUCCUAGCCUUUACUCUAGCCAACCCUAGCUCACGAUACAGACAAGUAUUGUUGCAUCAGUUCAGUUUUUUGAUUUCAUGUUUUGGCAGAUCUUUUGUGUCCAUUCGAAUCUUCAAUCUCUAAUUUGAACUCUCGUACUUUUUUCAAUCAAAUUGGUCACUUCUAGCUUUUUAUGUAGCCAACCCUAGCUCACGCUACAGACAGGUAUUGUUGUAUCGGUUCAGAUUUUUUGAUUUCAUGUUUUGGCAGAUCUUUUGUGUCCAUUCGAAUCCUCAAUCUCUAAUUUGAACUCUCGUACUUUUUUCAAUCAAAUUGGUCAUUUCUAGCUUUUUAUGUAGCCAACGCUAGCUCACGCUACAGAUAGGUAUUGUUGUACCGGUUCAUAUAUUUUGAUUUCAUGUUUUGGUAGAUCUUUUGUGUCCAUUCGAAUCCUCAAUCUCUAAUUUGAACUCUCGUACUUUUUCCAAUCAAAUUGGACACUUCUAACUUUUUAUGUAGCCAACCCUAGCUCACGCUACAGACAGGUAUUGUUGUAUCGGUUCAGAUUUUUUGAUUCNNNNNNNNNNNNNNNNNNNNNNNNNNNNNNNNNNNNNNNNNNNNNNNNNNNNNNNNNNNNNNNNNNNNNNNNNNNNNNNNNNNNNNNNNNNNNNNNNNNNAUAGUGAAAAUGUAGAUAUGGUACUAAUCAAGAGGGACAGAAUGAAGAGAGAAGAAGAAAACCUAGCUCAUGGUACAGACAUUUAUUGUAGAAUCGGAUUAGUUUUUUUUUAUUCAUUUUUUAGCAGAUCUUUUGUGUCCAUACGAAUCAUCAAGUUGUAAUUUGAAUUCUCAUACUUUUUUGAAUCAAAAAGACCACUUCUAGCCUUUUAUGUAGCCAACCCUAGCUUACGGUACACAUAUUUAUUGUUGAGUCGGUUCAGUUUUUUUUAAUUUCUUUUUUAGCAGAUCUUUUGUGUCCAUUCUAAUCCUCAAUCUCUAAUUUGAAUUCUCAUACUUUUUCCACUCAAAUUAGCCAGUUUUAGCCUUUGCUUUGGCCAACCCUAGCUCACUGUACAAACAUGUACUGUUGAAUUAGUUUAGUUUUUUUGAUUCAAGUUUUGGCAGAUCUGUUGUGUCCAUUCGAAUUCUCAUACUCUUUUGAAUCAAAUUGUCUAGUUCUAGCCUUUGCUCUAGCCAACCACAGCUCACUGUACAGACGGGUAUUGUUGAAUCGAUUCAAUUUUUUUUUAUUCAUGUUUUAGCAGAUCUUUUCUCGCCAUUCGAGUCCCUAAUCUGUAAUUUGAAUUCUCAUACUUUUUCCAAUCAAAUUGGACAAUCCUAGACUUUUAUGUAGCCAACCCUAGCUCACAGUAUAGGUAGUUAUUGUAGAAUUGGUUCUGUAUUUUUCAUUCAUGUUUUAGCAGAUCUUUUGUCGCCAUUCGAAUCCGCAAUCUGUAAUUUGAAUUCUCAUACUUUUUCCAAUCAAAUUGGCCACUUCUAGCAAUUUCUACAGCCAACCCUAGCUCACAGUAUAGACAUGUACUGUAGAAUUGGAUCUAUUUUUUUCUUUCAUGUUUUAGCAAAUCUUUUUCGGCCAUUCGAAUCCCCUAUCUGUAAUUUGAAUUCUCAUACUUUUUCCAAUCAAAUUGGCCAUCUCUAGCAAUUUCUAUAACCAACCCCUAGCUUACUGUACAGACGGGCAUUGUUGAAUCGGUUCAGUUUUUUUGACUCUUGGUUUGGCAGAUCUUUUGUGUCCAUUAGAAUCCUCAAUUUCUAAUUUGAAUUAUCAUACUUGUCCCAAUCAAAUUGGACACUCCUAGCUUUUUAUGUAGCCAACCCUAGCUUAAGAUACAGACAUUUAUUGUUGAAUCGGUUCAGUUUUCUUUUAUUCACUUUUUAGAAAAUCUUUUGUGUCCAUACGAAUCCACAAUUUGUAAUUUGAAUUCUCCUACUUUUUCCAAUUGAAUUGGCCACUUCUAGCUAUUUCUACAGCCAACCCUAGCUCACAGCACGGAUAGUUAUUGUCGAAUUGGUUCUGUAUUUUUCAUUUAUGUUUUAGUAGAUCUUUUGUCGCCGUUCGAAUUGCCAAUCUAUAAUUUGAAUUCUCAUACCUUUUCCAAUCAAAUUGGCCUUCUGUACCCAUUUCUAUAGCCAACCCUAGCUCACAGUAUAGAUAGGUAUUGUUGAAUCGGUUCUGUAUUUUUCAUUCAUGUUUUAGCAGAUCUUUCGUCGCUAUUCGAAUCCCCAAUCUAUAAUUUGAAUUCUCAUACUUUUUCCAAUCAAAUUAGCCACUUCUAGCAAUUUCUACAGCCAACCCUAGCUCAUAGUAGAGACAGGUAUUGUUGAAUCAGUUAUGUAUUUUUCAUUCAUGUUGUAGAAGAUCUUUUGUGGCAAUUCGAAUCCGCAAUCUGUAAUUUGAAUUCCCACACCUUUUCCGAUCAAAUUGGCCACUUCUAGCCAUUUCCACAGCCAACCCUAGCUCCCGAUACAGGCGGGUAUUAUUGAAUCUGUUCAAUUUUUUUAAUUCAGGUUUUGGCAGAUCUUUUGUGUCCAUUUGAAUCCUCAAUCUCUAAUUUAAACUCUCAUAGUUUUUCCAAUCAAAUUGGACACUCCUAAUCUUUUAUGUACCCAACCCUAACUCACGAUACAGGCGGGUAUUGUUGAAUAUGUUCAAUUUUUUGAUUUAUGUUUUGGAGAUCUUUUGUCUCCAUUCGAAUCCUCAAUCUCUAAUUUGAAUUCUCAUAGUUUUUCCAAUCAAAUUGGACACUCCAAGCAUUUUAUGUAGCCAACCUUAGCUCACGCUACAGGCGGGUAUUGUUGCAUCGGUUCAGUUUUUUGAUUCAUGUUUUGGCAGAUCUUUUGCGUCCAUUCGAAUCCUCAAUCUCUAAUUUGAAUUCUCAUAGUUUUUCCAAUCAAAUUGGACACUCCGAGCCUUUGCUCUGGCCAACCCUAGCUCACGCUACAGAUGAGUAUUGUUGAAUCAGUUCAGUUUUUUGAAUUCAUGUUUUGGCAGAUCUUUUGUGUCCAUUCGAAUCCUCAAUUUCUAAUUUGAAUUCUCAUAGUUUUUCCAAUCAAAUUGGACACUCCUAAUCUUUUAUGUACCCAACCCUAGCUCACGAUACAGGCGGGUAUUGUUGAAUAUGUUCAAUUUUUUGAUUUAUGUUUUGGAGAUCUUUUGUCUCCAUUCGAAUCCUCAAUCUCUAAUUUGAAUUCUCAUAGUUUUUCCAAUCAAAUUGGACACUCCAAGCCUUUUAUGUAUCCAACCCUAGGUCACGCUACAGACAGGUAUUGUUGUAUCGGUUCAGAUUUUUUGAUUCAUGUUUUGGUAGAUCUUUUGUGUUCAUUCGAAUCCUCAAUCUCUAUUGUGAACUCUCACACUUUAUCCAAUCAAAUUGGACACUCCGAGCCUUUGCUCUGGCCAACCCUAGCUCACGCUACAGAUGAGUAUUGUUGAAUCAGUUCAGUUUUUUGAAUUCAUGUUUUGGCAGAUCUUUGUGUCCAUUCGAAUCCUCAAUUUCUAAUUUGAAUUCUCAUAGUUUUUCCAAUCAAAUUGGACACUCCUAGCCUUUUAUGUAUCCAACCCUAGCUCACGAUACAGACAGGUAUUGUUGCAUCGGUUCAGGUUUUUUAAUUCAUCUUUUGGCAGAUCUUUUGUGUCCAUUCGAAUUCUCAAUCUCUAAUGUGAACUCUCAUACUUUUUCCAAUCAAAUAGGACACUCCUAGCCUUUACUCUAGCCAACCCUAGCUCACGAUACCGAUGAGUAUUGUUGAAUCGGUUCAGUUUUUUUAAUUCAUCUUUUGGCAGAUCUUUUGUCUCCAUUCGAAUCCUCAAUCUCUCAUGUGAACUCUCAUACUUUUUCCAAUGAAAUUGGACACUCCUAGCCUUUACUCUAGCCAACCCUAGCUCACGCUACAGACAGGUAUUGUUGUAUCGGUUUAGAUUUUUUGAUUCAUGUUUUGGUAGAUCUUUUGUGUUCAUUCGAAUCCUCAAGUUCUAAUGUGAACUCUCACACUUUUUCCAAUCAAAUUGGACACUCCGAGCCUUUGCUCUGGGCAACCCUAGCUCACGCUACAGAUGAGUAUUGUUGAAUCAGUUCAGUUUUUUGAAUUCAUGUUUUGGCAGAUCUUUUGUGUCCAUUCGAAUCCUCAAUCUCUAAUUUCAAUUCUCAUAGUUUUUCCAAUCAAAUUGGACACUCCUAGCCUUUUAUGUAUCCACCCUAGCUCACGAUACAGACAGGUAUUGUUGCAUCGGUUCAGGUUUUUUAAUUCAUCUUUUGGGCAGAUCUUUUGUGUCCAUUCGAAUUCUCAAUCUCUAAUGUGAACUGCUCAUACUUUUUCCAAUCAAAUUGGUCACUUCUAGCUUUUUAUGUAGCCAACCCUAGCUCACGAUACAGACAAGUAUUGUUGAAUCAGUUUAGUUUUUUGAAUUCAUGUUUUGGCAAAUCUUUUGUGUCCAUUCGAAUCCUCAAUCUCUAAUGUGAACUCUCAUAUUUUUUCCAAUCAAAUUGGAUACUCCUAGCCUUUACUCUAGCCAACCCUAGCUCACGAUACAGACAAGUAUUGUUGAAUCAGUUCAAUUUUUCGAAUUCAUGUUUUGGCAGAUCUUUUGUUUCCAUUCGAAUCCUCAACCUCUAAUGUGAACUCCCAU
rnacentral:lncRNA from 1 species